rnacentral:rRNA from 1 species
CAUGCAAGUCGAGGGGCAGCAUGAUUGAAGCUUGCUUCAAUUGAUGGCGACCGGCGCACGGGUGAGUAACGCGUAUCCAACCUUCCGUACACUCAGGGAUAGCCUUUCGAAAGAAAGAUUAAUACCUGAUGGUAUGAUGAGAUUGCAUGAUAGCAUCAUUAAAGAUUUAUCGGUGUACGAUGGGGAUGCGUUCCAUUAGGUAGUAGGCGGGGUAACGGCCCACCUAGCCUACGAUGGAUAGGGGUUCUGAGAGGAAGGUCCCCCACAUUGGAACUGAGACACGGUCCAAACUCCUACGGGAGGCAGCAGUGAGGAAUAUUGGUCAAUGGACGAGAGUCUGAACCAGCCAAGUAGCGUGAAGGAUGAAGGUCUUACGGAUUGUAAACUUCUUUUAUAAGGGAAUAAAACCUCCCACGUGUGGGAGCUUGUAUGUACCUUAUGAAUAAGCAUCGGCUAACUCCGUGCCAGCAGCCGCGGUAAUACGGAGGAUGCGAGCGUUAUCCGGAUUUAUUGGGUUUAAAGGGAGCGCAGACGGGUCGUUAAGUCAGCUGUGAAAGUUUGGGGCUCAACCUUAAAAUUGCAGUUGAUACUGGCGUCCUUGAGUGCGGUUGAGGUGUGCGGAAUUCGUGGUGUAGCGGUGAAAUGCUUAGAUAUCACGAAGAACUCCGAUUGCGAAGGCAGCACACUAAGCCGUAACUGACGUUCAUGCUCGAAAGUGUGGGUAUCAAACAGGAUUAGAUACCCUGGUAG